rnacentral:rRNA from 1 species
UACGAAGGGGGCUAGCGUUGCUCGGAAUCACUGGGCGUAAAGGGUGCGUAGGCGGGUCUUUAAGUCAGGGGUGAAAUCCUGGAGCUCAACUCCAGAACUGCCUUUGAUACUGAGGAUCUUGAGUUCGGGAGAGGUGAGUGGAACUGCGAGUGUAGAGGUGAAAUUCGUAGAUAUUCGGCAAGAACACCAGUGGCGAAGGCGGCUC